UGCCAGCCGCCGCGGUAAUACGAAGGGGGUUAGCGUUGUUCGGAAUUACUGGGCGUAAAGCGCACGUAGGCGGAUUAGAAAGUUAGAGGUGAAAUCCCGGGGCUCAACCCCGGAACUGCCUUUAAUACUGCUAGUCUUGAGUUCGAGAGAGGUGAGUGGAAUUCCAAGUGUAGAGGUGAAAUUCGUAGAUAUUUGGAGGAACACCAGUGGCGAAGGCGGCUCACUGGCUCGAUACUGACGCUGAGGUACGAAAGUGUGGGGAGCAAACAGGAUUAGAUA
rnacentral:rRNA from 1 species